GUAAAUUUUGGAAAAAUUGGUCUAACUAAAUUGAGAAAUUAAAUUUCACAUAAAGAAAAAUUAUAAUUAAAUAGACACAUACAUUUAGUUAUUAAAACAUAUAUAAAUAUCAAGGUAUUAAGUUGACUAGCAACUAAAGAUUAGUCGGCCUUGGGAUUAUACAAUCAAAGUUCAAUUUAGCCAUAGUGGGGAUGGAACCUAGGUCGUUUUCUUAAAUAUGAAUCAACCUUACCUAGUAGGUGAUAGUCAAUAUGCGAACCAGUUAUAUGCAUUAUAAUAUAUAGGGUAAAUUACACAGAUGGUGUCUAUGGUUCAGGGUAUUCUAUAUGUUUUGUCCGUAACAAUCUUUUUUAAUUCGGACCGUCCUUAUUUUUUAUUUUUAUUGUAUGUUUGAUCCAUGUCUAUGUCAAAAAGACUAAGGGCCUGUUUGAUUAGAUGCUGAUUGGGUCCAGUCAGAGGUUUUUGUCUGACUCGGUCCAGUCAGAUUGUUUGUUUUGCAUUUGAUCUGGUCCAUAUCUCUGACUUGGUCCGCCAAUAGUUGCUGAUUCGGUCCGUCAAAAAAAAAAAGAGCUGACCGAGUAAAAUCAUUUGUUUGUCCUUCUCCUCCCAAAAUAUGCGUAAUCCUUCGCAGCUCUUCUUCCUCGUCGCCAAAGAACGAACGCAAGGACAGCUAGCUCCACCGCUUCCUCCUCAAACUCCGGCCUCCUCCUCCAGAAUCGUCCUCCAUCGCAAUCAUCGUCUCCGGCCUCCUUCAUCUUUGAUUUUGAUCAAGAAGCAAAAGAAAUCAGAUGCAAGACGAUGCGGCUAUGAUUUACAAUAGUAAAUGGAAGCAUUAAUUGAGUUUAAAGUCAAAGAAGUUUGGAUGGUCAAAAUUGGAGUUCCAUCCUUAACAAUCAAUCGGGAAGUUAGUUUUGUGCUGAUGUUUGCAAAUUGAAAAAGAUGCGAUCAAAAGGAAAUUCAAAGGCGUUCAAAAUCGAUAUGUUUUAUUGUAUAUGGAUUAUGAGUUUUAUUGUAUAUGGAUUAUGAAGUAUGGGGUUGAUGAUAAUAGCUUGAGAAAGAAUGGGAAGAAGGAAAAAAGAACAAUUUUGUACAUACGGAAUAUGUGUGUAGAUUGUCAAAUUUAUACCUUAAAGUGUUGUGUAUUAUAUGGUUACUUUUGGAUUUUAUAUGCUAUUUUAUUUAAGGGUAAUAUAAUUAUUUUGUUUUACUGUA